GGGGAUGUUUAUGGAUUCGACGGGUACCGUUCGAGUCCUGACUGCGUUUGAAGGUGGCGCUUGUUAAAACGCUCAGUUUUCUAAUUAUAACUGCAAACAAUAAUAAUUACUCUUACGCUGUUGCUGCCUAACAAGUAGCGCACGUAGAUCCGUCCGGGUUCGUCCAUGAUGCGGUAACGGGUUUCAUAUUUAGUGGACUUACGCUGAAUGCUCACGCUUGAAGCAUUGAGAAGAGAUUAUCAAGCUAGUCAGUCAUUGUUGCCUUGGUUAGCGGCGUUUUGGCUGGCGAAUUCCAAGUAGUUAACCUAUGAGCGUAGAUGUUGGGAUGGCGAGAUAUUCGGACAGGGGUUCGACUCCCCUCAUCUCCAU
rnacentral:sRNA from 1 species